rnacentral:rRNA from 1 species
CCUUGCCAGCCCGCUCAGAACUCAAAGGAAUUGACGGGGCCCGCACAAGCGGAGGAGCAUGUGGUUUAAUUCGAUGAUACGCGAGGAACCUUACCUGGGCUCGAACGUAAGAUGACUGUAGGUGAAAGCUUACAUCUCUUCGGAGCAUUUUACGAGGUGCUGCAUGGUUGUCGUCAGCUCGUGCCGUGAGGUGUCGGGUUAAGUCCCAUAACGAGCGCAACCCCUACCUUUAGUUGCCAUCAGGUUAAGCUGGGGACUCUAAAGGAACUGCCUACGCAAGUAGUGAGGAAGGCGGGGAUGACGUCAAAUCAGCACGGCCCUUACGUCCAGGGCUACACACGUGCUACAAUGGCCGAUACAGAGGGCAGCUACCUGGUGACAGGAUGCAAAUCUCCAAAGUCGGCCUCAGUUCGGAUCGGAGUCUGCAACCCGACUCCGUGAAGUUGGAUUCGCUAGUAAUCGCGCAUCAGCCAUGGCGCGGUGAAUACGUUCCCGGGCCUU